rnacentral:rRNA from 1 species
UACGGGGGGGGCAAGCGUUGUUCGGAAUUACUGGGCGUAAAGGGCUCGUAGGCGGCCAACUAAGUCAGACGUGAAAUCCCCGGGCUUAACCUGGGAAUUGCAUUUGUGACUGCACGGCUAGAGUGUGUCAGAGGGGGGUAGAAUUCCACGUGUAGCAGUGAAAUGCGUAGAUAUGUGGAGGAAUACCGAUGGCGAAGGCAGCCCCCUGGGAUAACACUGACGCUCAUGCACGAAAGCGUGGGGAGCAAACAGG